rnacentral:rRNA from 1 species
AGUGAACGCUGGCGGUAGGCCUAACACAUGCAAGUCGAACGGCAGCACAGAGGGGCUUGCUCCUUGGGUGGCGAGUGGCGGACGGGUGAGGAAUACAUGGGAAUCUACUCUGUCGUGGGGGAUAACGUAGGGAAACUUACGCUAAUACCGCAUCCGACCUACGGGUGAAAGCAGGGGAUGUUCGGACCUUGCGCGAUUGAAUGAGCCGAUGUAGGAUUAGCUAGUUGGCGGGGUAAAGGCCCACCAAGGCGACGACCCGUAGCUGGUCUGAGAGGAUGAUCAGCCACACUGGAACUGAGACACGGUCCAGACUCCUACGGGAGGCAGCAGUGGGGAAUAUUGGACAAUGGGCGCAAGCCUGAUCCAGCCAUACCGCGUGGGUGAAGAAGGCCUUCGGGUUGUAAAGCCCUUUUGUUGGGAAAGAAAUCCAUCUGGUUAAUACCCGGGUGGGAUGACGGUACCCAAAGAAUAAGCACCGGCUAACUUCGUGCCAGCCGCCGCCGUAA